rnacentral:tRNA from 1 species
GACUCGUUUAGCUUCAGUUGGUAGAGCAAUUGACUUUUUAAUCAAUGGGUCACUGGUUCGAAGCCCAGUUAACGGGUCA